UGCACAAGCGGUGGAGCAUGUGGUUUAAUUCGAAGCAACGCGAAGAACCUUACCAGGUCUUGACAUCCUCUGACAAUCCUAGAGAUAGGACGUCCCCUUCGGGGGCAGAGUGACAGGUGGUGCAUGGUUGUCGUCAGCUCGUGUCGUGAGAUGUUGGGUUAAGUCCCGCAACGAGCGCAACCCUUGAUCUUAGUUGCCAGCAUUCAGUUGGGCACUCUAAGGUGACUGCCGGUGACAAACCGGAGGAAGGUGGGGAUGACGUCAAAUCAUCAUGCCCCUUAUGACCUGGGCUACACACGUGCUACAAUGGACAGAACAAAGGGCAGCGAAACCGCGAGGUUAAGCCAAUCCCACAAAUCUGUUCUCAGUUCGGAUCGCAGUCUGCAACUCGANNUGCGUGAAGCUGGAAUUCGCUNGUAAUCG
rnacentral:rRNA from 1 species